UUGUAUUACAACCCCAUUGGAUACCAUCAAGACUCACUUACAGGUACUAUUCAAAAUAUUUAACAUAAAACUAUCAUAUUCUUUUGAUUUUUAUUGUAGUAAGAGAUCACAACUUCAAACCACCGAAACAACCACCUUGCAAGUGCAAGGGGAAGGUUGCAUGCAUUUGACCCUCUCCACUCCUGGCUUGGGCUUGCAAUGCUGGUGGCCUUUGCAAUGAGCCUUGAGUGUUGUAAUUGUGUUUUUGUUAUUUAGUUGUUUGAACUUUGUAGGUGAUGGGACAAGAAAGGAAGAGCUCCACAAGACAAGUUGUUAAAAAUUUUAUGAAGGAUGAUGGCUGGGGAGGUUCACAUAGAGGGUUUGGUCCAAGAUUUUUCAGCAUGUCGGCAUGGGGAACUUCAAGGAUAUUAGCAUAUGAAUAUUUGAGUAAGGACAUUUUCCUAUCUUUUCCUAUCAUUUUGCUAUAUUACUACCUUGUAACUUCAGGUGGCCUCCAAAUAUCAAUUAUGGUGUUUAAUUUACUGAAUGGAGUUGUACAUACAUGAAUUGCUUGAUGUUAUUUAUGACAAUAUGAGUUGUAUAUUCUAGUGCAUAUGGGAUCUAAUAUCAAUAUCACCCAACAAACAUACUUUCUACUCUUUUC
rnacentral:misc_RNA from 1 species